rnacentral:rRNA from 1 species
GACGAACGCUGGCGGCGUGCUUAACACAUGCAAGUCGAACGGAAAGGCCCUGCUUUUGUGGGGUGCUCGAGUGGCGAACGGGUGAGUAACACGUGAGUAACCUGCCCUUGACUUUGGGAUAACUUCAGGAAACUGGGGCUAAUACCGGAUAGGAGCUCCUGCUGCAUGGUGGGGGUUGGAAAGUUUCGGCGGUUGGGGAUGGACUCGCGGCUUAUCAGCUUGUUGGUGGGGUAGUGGCUUACCAAGGCUUUGACGGGUAGCCGGCCUGAGAGGGUGCCCGGCCACAGUGGGACUGAGAUACGGCCGAGACUCCUACGGGAGGCAGCAGUGGGGAAUAUUGCACAAUGGGCGGAAGCCUGAUGCAGCAACGCCGCGUGCGGGAUGACGGCCUUCGGGUUGUAAACCGCUUUCGCCUGUGACGAAGCGUGAGUGACGGUAAUGGGUAAAGAAGCACCGGCUAACUACGUG